GAGGGUGUAGCUCACUGCUAGAGUGCAUGCUUAGCACGCACAAGGUCCUGGGUUCAACCCCCAGUGCCUCUG
rnacentral:tRNA from 1 species